AAAUGUUGGAGUCUCUCCUGCUGAGGACACGUCAUUAAGUAGAGGGAGGAGAGUGCAACACGUGUCUGUUUCUGGAUGCGUUUAGUUGAUUUUGUUUUUUUUCAUAUAUAUGGGCCUUCACGUUAUAUUUCUUGGGCCCUAGAAGAGGUUUUGUGGACUGAUCCAACUCAUCAUCUCAUCCGUAGUCACCUUCUUCGUCUGCAGAGAUUGUCGCCUUCGGUUUUAGGGUUCUUGGUGUUCUUCCAUGUAGUCUCCUGAUGGUUAUGGGGGGCGAAUAUUCUCGGUGAAUCUCUGUAAAAAGCUACUUUUAGUGCGUUUCGUCUGAAUCUCUUCUCGCUGGAGAAGAGAAACCGGAGCUGUUACGGGAUGCAUUCAAUCCUUAUCAUUAACUACCUUAUUAACUCCUUACUCCCCACUUCUAUAUUGAUUCCUCACUCAAUGCAUCUCUCAUCUCUUUGAGUCGGCCAAUCUCUUGCUAUAAAAAGGGUUCUUUCAGGGUUUAUGGUUUAAGCGAUCGCAAUCUUCAGUUGUCAGAUGAUUGGUGAGUCUGUGUAACAUAUCAAAAAGCUCAUACAUGUCAAAAAUUCAAGUGUUUUUGUUUUGUUUUCAUUUACAUAUGAAGAAUCAAACGAACAGAGAAAAUGUAUGAAGAACAUUAAUACAUGUAGAAUUUUUUAGAUUCUAUGUAUCUAUCUCUUCUUCCAAGUUGCUGCCUUUAGCUUAUUACCAUGUUGAUUUUCUACUAAAAUGGUGAAGUUACUUUGUCUCCUAUAUGUUUCUUUGUAAAGAAAGGUUCUUCCUUGGCUUAGACCAUUGUGGAAUAAAGAUCACUUUCGCCUGAA